UACGUAGGGUGCAAGCGUUGUCCGGAAUUAUUGGGCGUAAAGAGCUCGUAGGCGGUCUGUCACGUCGGCUGUGAAAACCCGGGGCUCAACCCCGGGCCUGCAGUCGAUACGGGCAGACUAGAGUGCGGUAGGGGAGACUGGAAUUCCUGGUGUAGCGGUGAAAUGCGCAGAUAUCAGGAGGAACACCGGUGGCGAAGGCGGCUUCCUGGUCCGACACCGACGUUCAGGCACGAAAGCGUGGGGAGCAAACAGG
rnacentral:rRNA from 1 species